UCGGAAUGAUCAUCCCUAAGAUCUCUUAUUUAUGUGUACCUUUAACACAGAAAUCCACUGUGCAAAUUUCUGCACAAGCCCUGCUUUUAUGUGUGAACUAUAGGCAUCCUGAGCUGAUGACAACAGGGUAUUUGUUACACUUGGUUUCCAGGGGAACGGUACUUUGCUGAAACCCCGCUUAUGCUGCUCCGCGCUACGCGGCCUCAGAAUCGCCUUCAAAGAGCCCUUGUCUCCAUCUGUGAGCCGAAGGUCACCAUCUAUCAUUGAGGAACUUAAGCAGAACUUCAAUCGUAAGUUUGUUGGCUCUCUCACAGGCUCGUGCUUAGUCCCCUUUAUUAUACACUCUAGGAAUACUCCCAGGAAGUCCUGCUACCCAGACGGGGUGGAAACAUCCACAUCAAUCAUCAUUCAAUGUGGACAAUGCUCCAGGUAAAGUUCUGUCUUUCCGCUGACUCUACUUUGUAUCACGAGGACAGUAACAAUAAUCAACACCAAAGGUCUAUUUCUUUCCGAAGUAGUUGAUGGUAACCUGGAUAAUCAUAGCUGGUAAGGAGGAAAGCACACAGAGAAGAGACCAUCGUCAAGAGACAGUUGAAAGAUGAAGAAACUAAGUUUCUCAAAGACUGCACAAGUGGUGCCAUGAGUAGCCAUCUAUGAAACACAGAGAAAAAAAAUCACCCGAAUAGUGUUUUUACUAUUUUACUUUCAAAUUUUAUGUUUUUUCUUCAAUUGACAGAGCUAUAUCGAGAAAGGAAGUUACAGGUGACCAUUGAAUCUCAAUGAAGCAUAUACUUGAGGACCUUUCAAAGAUCCCAGGCACUGAUGGCUUCUGAUGGAAGUGUUCUUCAUGGGAUGACCUUGGAAGACACUGACAUGGGUCUAUUGACCUAAAUGUCUGAAUAGAAAACAGUAGGAAAUAAUUUGUUUCAACUACCUACUGAAAAAUAAUUCAAAAUGCUGUGCUGUCCAGUCUACCAAGGAGAAAACACUCAAAGACUGUCCUCAUUGUUCUUCCAAGAAAUGAUGACCAUGGUCAAACACAAACAAA